AACCUUUAAACAAAAACCAUUUUCCUUAGUUUCUAUAGGCCAUCCUCCUCCUGAGGAUCCUCCUAAUCCCUCCCAAUGAGUGUCAAGCUCUUUUUUUGGAAUGUUCGUGGCCUAAAUGACCCGGAUAAGCAUAUACCUUUUGUCAGAUGGCUUAGUAGCCAAAGACCUCUUUUUGGUGCCCUAUUAGAAACUCAUAUAAAGGAACCCUUUCUAAACCCUAUCUUAACUAAGCUUUGCCCAGGAUGGAAACACCUCUCAAACCAUAACUCUGACCCUGAUGGUCGCAUUAUUAUGAUCUGGAAGGACCCUCUUGAUGUAAUAAUCUUGUCCCAGUCAAGGCAGUGUGUAACGUGUAUGAUCUCUAUCCCAAACCAAGCUCUUAUUUACUACUCGGCCAUCUACGCCUCAAAUGAAAGUGAUGAGAGAGUGGAGCUAUGGAAUGAACUACUCCAAACACAUUCAGCGCUCGAUCUUGACUCCAAAAACUGGGUAGUAGGAGGGGAUUUAAAUCAGAUCCUUUUCCCUGUGGAACACUCUAACCCGACAGUUGAUCACAUGGACAACUUAAUGUGUCAACUGCAGGACUGCUUCCUCCAAGCAGGUCUGUUUGAUUUGCGCUACCUAGGACCCUGUCAUACAUGGACAAAUAAUCAGCCGGAGUGCCCCAUAGCAAAGAAACUAGAUCGGAUGUUGGUUAACAAUAACACCAUCUCGUAUUACCCUCAUGCUGUGGCAUCAUUCCUUCCCCCUGACUUAUCAGAUCAUUCCCCCUGUCUCCUUAUCCUGGCCCUCCACCUACCAAAAGCUGGAACCUAUCCCUAUAAAUUCCCAAACUACCUCACAAAACACCCGGGUUUCGCUCAGUUGAUUCAAAAUGCCUGGAUUCAUGCUGGAAGUAUAUGCCAC
rnacentral:lncRNA from 1 species